rnacentral:rRNA from 1 species
UGUUCCUACGGGACGCAGCAGUAGGGAAUCUUCCACAAUGGGCGAAAGCCUGAUGGAGCAACGCCGCGUGGGUGAAGAAGGUCUUCGGAUCGUAAAACCCUGUUGUUAGAGAAGAAAGUGCGUGAGAGUAACUGUUCACGUUUCGACGGUAUCUAACCAGAAAGCCACGGCUAACUACGUGCCAGCAGCCGCGGUAAUACGUAGGUGGCAAGCGUUAUCCGGAUUUACUGGGUGUAAAGGGCGUGUAGGCGGGCCUGUAAGUCAGAAGUGAAAUCUGGGGGCUUAACCCCCAAACUGCUUUUGAA